GGAACUAGAGACCGGCGCGCGGGUGCGUAACGCGUAUGCAAUCUACCUUUCACAGAGGGAUAGCCCAGAGAAAUUUGGAUUAAUACCUCAUAGUAUAAUGAGUUGGCAUCAACACAUUAUUAAAGUCACAACGGUGAAAGAUGAGCAUGCGUCCCAUUAGCUAGAUGGUAAGGUAACGGCUACCAUGGCAACGAUGGGUAGGGGUCCUGAGAGGGAGAUCCCCCACACUGGUACUGAGACACGGACCAGACUCCUACGGGAGGCAGCAGUGAGGAAUAUUGGACAAUGGGCGCAAGCCUGAUCCAGCCAUGCCGCGUGCAGGAUGACGGUCCUAUGGAUUGUAAACUGCUUUUGUACAGGAAGAAACACUGGUUCGUGAACCAGCUUGACGGUACUGUAAGAAUAAGGAUCGGCUAACUCCGUGCCAGCAGCCGCGGUAAUACGGAGGAUCCAAGCGUUAUCCGGAAUCAUUGGGUUUAAAGGGUCCGUAGGCGGUUUAGUAAGUCAGUGGUGAAAGCCCAUCGCUCAACGGUGGAACGGCCAUUGAUACUGCUAAACCUGAAUUAUUAGGAAGUAACUAGAAUAUGUAGUGUAGCGGUGAAAUGCUUAGAGAUUACAUGGAAUACCAAUUGCGAAGGCAGGUUACUACUAAUGGAUUGACGCUGAUGGACGAAAGCGUGGGUAGCGAACAGGAUUAGAUACCCUGGUAGUCCACGCCGUAAACGAUGGAUACUAGCUGUCGGAAGCGAUUUCAGUGGCUAAGCG
rnacentral:rRNA from 1 species